AACGCACAUUGCGCCCCUUGGUAUUCCGAGGGGCAUGCCUGUUCGAGCGUCAUUACAACCCUCAAGCAUUGCUUGGUAUUGGGCCCCACUGCUUACCCAGCGGGCCUUAAAAUCAGUGGCGGUGCCGUCGAGGCCCUGAGCGUAGUAAAUAUCCUCGCUAUAGGGACUCGGUGGACGCUGGCCAUCAACCCCCAACUUUCUAAGUUUGACCUCGGAUCAGGUAGGGAUACCCGCUGAACUUAA
rnacentral:misc_RNA from 1 species